rnacentral:rRNA from 1 species
AUAUUGCGCAAUCAAUGGAACUCUGCCGCAGCGACGCCGCGUGCGCGCUGAAGGUCUUCGCUUCGUACUGCUCUGUCCUUUGGGAAGCAGGGAGCCGUAAGGCUUCUUGACGGUCCCCAUGGAGGAAGCUCCGGCUAACUACGUGCCAGCAGCCGCGGUAAUACGUAGGGGGCAAGCGUUGUCCGGAAUUAUUGGGCGUAAAGGGUGCGUAGGCGGACUAUUAAGUCAGAGGUGAAAGCCCACGGCUUAACCGUGGGACUGCAUUUGAAACUGGAGGGCUUGAGUAUCGGAGAGGGUAGUGGAAUUCCCAGUGUAGCGGUGGAAUGCGUAGAUAUUGGGAGGAACACCAGUGGCGAAGGCGACUACCUGGACGAAAACUGACGCUGAGGCACGAAAGCUAGGGGAGCAAAC